rnacentral:rRNA from 1 species
GAUGAACGCUAGCGGCAGGCCUAAUACAUGCAAGUCGAGGGGUAGUGGUUGCUUGCAGCCAUGAGACCGGCGCACGGGUGCGUAACGCGUAUGCAACCUACCUUCAUCUGGGGGAUAGCCCGGAGAAAUCCGGAUUAAUACCGCAUAAAAUCACAGUACGGCAUCGUACAAUGAUCAAACAUUUAUGGAUGGAGGUGGGCAUGCGUGUCAUUAGUUAGUUGGCGGGGUAACGGCCCACCAAGACCGCGAUGACUAGGGGAUCUGAGAGGAUGACCCCCCACACUGGUACUGAGACACGGACCAGAAUCAUACGGGAGGCAGCAGUAAGGAAUCUUGGUCAAUGGGCGAAAGCCUGAACCAGCCAUGCCGCGUGCAGGAAGACGGCCCGCUGGGUUGUAAACUGCUUUUAUUCGGGAAUAAACCUGCUUACGUGUAAGUAGCUGAAUGUACCGAAGGAAUAAGGAUCGGCUAACUCCGUGCCAGCCGCCGCAGUAACAC